CCCUAACCCCUAAUGUGUCAAAACAAGGAUUGUCAACAGAAAGCAAGAAGAGUGUAAGAAGACUCGUUAAGAAUGGGAACAAGAACAAGAUUACCUACUAAAAAGCCUGAUAGUCAACUCAGAAAAAGGAAACAAGCAAGAAAAGCACACUGUCACCCUAUUAUGACAGAACUAUAAAAUACCAAUACCUGAGAGAGACAUCAUGAAUUAAUUGAAUUAACGAAUAUCAAAAAAGAAUCAGAAUAUCCAAGGAUAUAACAGGUGACAACCAAGGAAACGACAGUAAAAUAAAAUAAAUAGUGAUAAACAGUGAUAACGCGGCACAAAUAACUAAAUAUAAAAUAUAAGUAUAUUGAAUAUAGAAUAACCGCAUCAAAGCAAACCAUAAAUAUAUUAAUUUAAUCUACAACACUUUGUACCACCAUAAAUAUAAAAUUAAACUAAAUCAUAACAGUAACUUUAAUUCAGUUAAUACAGAAUGAAUGAACAAUAACGGAGUGAAAGAAUGAACGAAUUAUCAGUGAAGUUAUUAAUAAAGAAAUUAAAGAGAAUGAAGUGAAUAGGAAGCGUAAAGUAUAAAGUGAAAGCCACGACCAGCAUAAUGUAAUAAUAUAGGGUAAAGCAACACAGUGUAAUAUAAUGCAAUGUAAUAUAAUAAUGUAAAACAAAUGAUAUAUAAUAAAAUAAAGUAGAAUAUAAAAUACAAGAAGUGGACUCAAAAUAUAACCGUAAAGCUUACCAACUAAAUACUCUAUUUCUUUACCAAAGUAAAUUAUAUGUUAAAUGGUAAAUGGUGGAUGAUAAGUGAUCGUGUCAAUGCAAAUGUACAUAGAACCAAUUAUUUCAUGACAUUUCAAAAUAAGGAAAUAAACAACAUGUAAAUAAAUCAAUCAAUCAACCAAAUCAAUCAAAUCAAAUGUAAACUGUGUAAUUCAGUUAAACACUAUACUACUGCAUAGUGUAAGAAUAAAUCAAUCAAUCAACUAAUAUUUAAAAUGGUGAAAUUAAACAGAACCCGCGCAGCAUGAAAGCAUUUGGAUGGACAAAACCACUCAUCAUCACAGAAGAAUAGCAAAAUUAAUUAAGAUAAAUCAAAUCAAAUCACCAACCUCAACUGGUCAGAAUAAAUAAAUGAAUGAAUAACGAAUAAUGAAUUAAUGAAUGAAUGAAUGAAUGAAUAAAUCAAGGAAAAGAGAAACAACAGAAUACUAGCAAGUACGAGUAAGCAAACCCUAAUGCGCCAAAGCCACGGUGUCAAAACUAGCAUGCAAGGACUAGCUAAAAGGAACGACAUUGAAUAAGAGAACUGAAUUGCAACUGAAAAGGAAAAGAAAAGAAAGGAAACAAGGUAAGAAACAGCCCACCAUCAUGGAAGAGCAACAUUAUGACCAGAGAAAGACGUCAUGAAUAAGCUGGAUUAAAGGAAAUCAAAGGAACACCAAAACAUUAAUGAAUAUCAAGGAUGCACAGGGAAAUCAAGAACAAAUCAAGAAGCGAUAAUGAAACAAAAUGUAUAACAGCGAUAACGCGACCUAAUAAAUUAGAGUAAUAAUAAAUAUAUUAAAUACAAUAUAAAAUAAAGAAUAACCAUGGAAGCAAAUCAUAAAUAUAUUAAUACUAAUACAAUCUACCGAACUUUGUACCAUCGUGUGUUAAAAUAAACUAAAUCAUAACAGUUACUUUAGUUCAAUUUUAUUCAGGAUGAAUGAACAGUGACAGAGCGAAGGUAGUAAUCAACAUAGUAUGAUAAUGUAAUAAUGUAAUGUUCCGCAAUAUAACGUAGUGUCACGUAAUAUAAUGUAAAACAGAAGGUAUUAUACUAAAGUAAAAUACAAAAUACAAAUACAAGAAGUGUGUUUAAUGAAAUAAUAUAGUACAAUCGUACAGAUUAUUAGCUACAAUAUUCCAUCUCUUAACCAGAAUAGCCUACAAGUUAAAUCAUAAAUUAUAAACUACACAUUAUAAAUUAUAAAUCAUAAACCGUAAAUAAUUGUGGACACCGCUUGUCAGCACAAAGGAAAGAAAUUAGAGUAAAAUAAAUUAAACCCUUUGACUAUUAAUCAGAUAAACAAUGAGCAAAGAACGAAUGAAUGACUGAAUAAAUAAAUAGUAAUGAGUAAAUAAUAAGUGAAUAACGAAAGAUUGAAUAUAUGACUGCGAGCACAACUAUAGAAAUUAAGAAACUGGGAAAUUGAGGAACCGAGAAAUUGAGUAAAUAAAGAAAUAAGAAAAAGCGAAGAGGAAGUGAAAAUGAAAAUGGGAAAGUGUACUGCAAGCCGUAAAGUGUAAUGUGCAAGCAAAAUAACCAGCACAAUACACUGUGAUAUAAAAGAAAAGAAAAUAAAGAAUGAAUGAUACCGUGAAGGUAUAGCAUAGAUACAGUGAAGUGAAUUUCAAAAUAAUAUAACCAUAGAUAAUAUAAACCAUAGAACAGCCACCUUCAAAGAUGUCAGGUGACAGAAUUUACAGAGAUAUAACCUUAACCCUAACCCCCAAUGUGUCAAAACAAGGAUGUCAACAGGAAGCAAGAACAGUGUAAGAAGACUCGUUAGGGAUAAGAAGAACAAAUUACCAAUUAAGGAACCCUGAUUGUCAACUCAAGGACAGGAAACAAGCAAGAAAGGCACUGUCACCCUUUUGUGAAAGGGCUACGCAAUACCAAUGCCAGGGAGAGACAUCGCGAAUUAAUUGAAUUAAAGAAUAUCGAAGAAGAAUCAAAAUAUCCAAGGAUAUAUAACAGGCGACAAAUCAAGAAGGCGACAGGAAAUGGAAUAAAUAGUGGUAGUCAGUGAUAACGUGACACAAUUAAAUUAAAAUAUAAAAUAUAUAUGUAUUAAAUGUAUUAAAUAUAGAAUAACCGCAUAAAAGUAAACAUAAAU